rnacentral:tRNA from 1 species
UGGCGAUAUAGCUCAGUUGGCAGAGCAAACGGCUCAUAUCCGUUCGGUCGUAGGUUCAAUCCCUACUGUCGCUAA